rnacentral:sRNA from 1 species
UAAUACUUUGGGUGAGGCCAGGAGCACA